GCCAAUGGCGAUUCUAUUGCCAAGGUGUGCGUAGAGGGUUGAAUGUACAGUCUUAUAGAAAUAAUGAAAGUACAAAAUAAAUGUAGUAUUAGCUGAACUUGUAAAUAAUUGAACAUGAGACAGUGAUUUUUUUUUUUUUUUUUUUUUUUGUCAAUGUUGACUUGAGGUUUUAUCUAUAACACUAGCUCAGCAGAUACCACAACAGCGUCAGAAACAACCCUGUCCACUUCGGCCACUCUCUCUUCAACUGCUUUUCAAGUCCCAACAACUCUUUCUGGAAUAUCCACCAGUAGUGCAGCAAUUACCAUGACAGCACCACAAUCAACAGCUUCUACCUUGGCUUCAGUCAGCUCCUUUUCACCAGCCUUUGACACAUUAACCACUAGUGCUACAACGGUCAUCCCUUCUACGGAUUCUACAGCCUCUACAGCUUCUCCAGCAUCUACAGCAUUGACAACCAUUACAGUAUCUACAGCUUCUACAACAUCUACAUCUUCCAGGACAACUACUGCAAAAUUAGUAACUGAGGUGCUAACAGAUCUGGAGUUUCGCUCCACAGACACAUUUAUAGACGCACUGAAGGAUUCAAAGUCUGCAGAGCACAAGAAUAUGGCUAAGCUUGUCAGGGAUGAGACCCAAGUAUGCUAACUUCCUCAAAGUGAUUGUCCUAGGAUUCAGACAAGGGUCAAUCAUCACAUCAACACAACUAGUCUUCACCUUUAACCAAACUAUUCCAUCCAUUCAAGAGAUUUCAACCUUCCUCUUGAGAGCAGUGGAAACAGGAGAAGUCAAUCAACUGAACAGGAUUCCUCAAUCAAUUUUAGUCAAUGGUUCAGAGAAACAAGCAUGCAGUCAUCUUUAGGGGCUGUUCACAUGGAAUG
ensembl:lncRNA